UGGUGGCAGAGAUGUUGAGAGGGUGGGCACAGAAACUCUCAUUCUAGGAUUCUGAUGGAAGGUCUGUGGUAGAGAAAUACUAAAUUGUAUCCAUCACAUACAGGAUGGGCAAAGGACAUUAGGAUAGCAUCGGCUAAUCUCCCUUCCUCAGCUCUGUCACCAAGGCUUCUUCUCUAUGGACACACUGGAGGAGGCAUUUCUUGGCCUCCAUGCAGUGAAACAAUGUCUUGCAGGCAAUUGUGCCUACUGCUUUUCUGAAGUUCACAGAUCUCAAGUGACUCAUCUGACCUCACCAG
rnacentral:lncRNA from 1 species